GGGUUGUGAGGUUAAGCGACUAAGCGUACACGGUGGAUGCCCUGGCAGUCAGAGGCGAUGAAGGACGUGCUAAUCUGCGAUAAGCGUCGGUAAGGUGAUAUGAACCGUUAUAACCGGCGAUUUCCGAAUGGGGAAACCCAGUGUGAUUCGUCACACUAUCAUUAACUGAAUCCAUAGGUUAAUGAGGCGAACCGGGGGAACUGAAACAUCUAAGUACCCCGAGGAAAAGAAAUCAACCGAGAUUCCCCCAGUAGCGGCGAGCGAACGGGGAGGAGCCCAGAGCCUGAAUCAGUGUGUGUGUUAGUGGAAGCGUCUGGAAAGGCGCGCG
rnacentral:rRNA from 1 species